rnacentral:rRNA from 1 species
GUGAGGAAUUUUCCGCAAUGGGCGAAAGCCUGACGGAGCAAUGCCGCGUGAAGGAUGAAGGCCUAUGGGUUGUAAACUUCUUUUCUCAGAAAAGAAUUAUGACGGUAUCUGAGGAAUAAGCAUCGGCUAACUCUGUGCCAGCAGCCGCGGUAAGACAGAGGAUGCAAGCGUUAUCCGGAAUGAUUGGGCGUAAAGCGUCUGUAGGUUGUUUAAAAAGUAUUCUGUCAAAGAUCAGGGCUUAACCCUAGAUAGGCAGAAUAAACUUUUAAGCUAGAGUUUGGUAGAGGCAGAGGGAAUUCCCGGUGGAGCGGUGAAAUGCGUAGAUAUCGGGAGGAACACCAAAGGCGAAGGCACUCUGCUGGGCCAAUACUAACACUGAGAGACGAAAGCGAGGGGAGCAAAUGGGAUUAGAAACCCGGGUAGUCC